rnacentral:lncRNA from 1 species
GGGUUUUCAGUUAUUACAUUUGAAAAGAGAAUCUUUCCUCGGCAAUGAUCAGUGAAUAGUUAAGAAGCAAUUAAAUUGCACAUUCAAGAAACAGAUGUGUUCUACGUUUCAGGCUGCGAUCAGAAAAACAUGCAAUUAUUUUUCAGCUUAUGAAGCCUGUGGCUUUAUCUUCUCGGCAGCUUCAAGGACAGAUGGAAGGCUGACUUUGUCACCAAAUUCUUUCUCACGAUGCUCCAAUAGAACACCCUGUCUUCCUGCUCCAAUCACAUACACUCCUCCCAGGGUGAACCCUUCUCCUUCCAGGUUGCC